CUAGACUUUUUUAAAUUGCAGACAUACAUUACAUGGAUGUCUGAUUGCCCGCUAGCCAGAUCCGUUGGCUUUUAUGUGCGGUGCUACAGAAUUGCAAUGUAUAGAAAACAUUCAACUGAAUAUGUAAAAGUAAACUGGUUUGCACUUAAUCCUCCCCCCACCACACACAUUUAUUAUUAUUAUUGCCAUUUAUAUAGCACCAACAGAUUCCGUACCGCUUCUUUUUCAAACUAUGAUUGUAGAUAAAAUGACACAAAAAAAUUG